rnacentral:rRNA from 1 species
CUUAGUGGCGGACGGGUGAGUAACGCGUGGGUAACCUGCCCCAUACCGGGGGAUACCGACCUGGAAACAGGUGCUAAUACCGCAUAAGCGCACGGGAGCGCAUGCUCCUGUGUGAAAAACUCCGGUGGUAUGGGAUGGACCCGCGUCUGAUUAGCCAGUUGGCAGGGUAACGGCCUACCAAAGCGACGAUCAGUAGCCGGCCUGAGAGGGUGGACGGCCACAUUGGGACUGAGACACGGCCCAAACUCCUACGGGAGGCAGCAG